rnacentral:lncRNA from 1 species
AAGCUAAUUUGAGAAUGCAAAUGUGCAUUUAAUUAAUAUGUUACUUGUGACCCUAUAUGACUCACAGGCAGCAUAGAGGCUGUGGUGAGCUGUGCGCUGUGGAAGGCACGAAGGCUGGGUGACGGGAAGCGGUGUGGCCCCUGUGGGCACGGAGGUCCAGAGCCUCUGGGCGCUGAGAAGCUCCUAGAAGCAAACAGACCCAGUAAUCAAUCCCAGCUGCCGUGCGAGGUCCUGCCUCUUUUGUCACAUGUGAUGCCAACAGCAGGGAAGAAGUUUUUCAAGUGCAAAGGUGAUGAAUGUGUGAGAUUUUCCAACCCACGGGAGUUACCAGAAUGGAUUCCCUUCAGAGAAGCCUCUGUUGUUGGAACUUCUGCAGACAGGCAGCUCUGAGCUAAUAUACGGGGAUGCUCCUCCCGUGCUGGGUUCUGCCGGGGGUGGGGAGUCGGAGCAAGUGAGACAUAUUUCUACCGCUUCAAGCCUGCACGGUGCCUACAACAACGUUGCCGUUGUGGUGACGACUUAACCCUACUCGAGCGCUGAGAACCCUGGGAUCCGGGCAAGUUGGCAAAGCAGACGCAGGAGGACCUCCUGCUCCCUGCUUCAGGCUCCUGGUUUCCUGCACUUCG